rnacentral:rRNA from 1 species
UACAGAGGUCUCGAGCGUUAUUCGGAAUCACUGGGCUUAAAGCGUGCGUAGGCGGAUGUGCAGGCGUCGUGUGAAAGCCCUCGGCUCAACCGGGGAAUUGCACGGCGAACCGCAUGUCUUGAGACAAGUAGGGGCGGUCGGAACGAUAGGUGGAGUGGUGAAAUGCGUUGAUAUCUAUCGGAACGCCAAAGGUGAAGACAGACCGCUGGGCUUGUUCUGACGCUGAGGCACGAAAGCGUGGGGAGCAAACGGG